rnacentral:lncRNA from 1 species
UAGGUUUUGGGUUUAAGAUUUGGGUUUAAGAUUUAUGGUUUGGGUUUAGGGUCUACGACUUGGGUUUAGGGUAUAGAGUUUAGGUUUAUAGUCUAGUUUUUGGGUUUAGGGUAUAUAAUUUGGGUUUAGGAUCUAGGAUUAGGGUUUAGGAUAUAGGGUUUGGGUUUAGGGGUUUGGAUUUGGGUUUAGAAUUUAGGGUAUAAGAUUUAGAAUUUAAGAUUUAGGGUUUAGAGUUUAGCCGGAAGCGUUAAAGUCGUUAAAAUUAACGUUUUUAUUUUUUGUAGCUAUUUUUAUUUAAUUUAAUGUUUUUUAAUUAAUAAUCCAUGUGUCAAUUUGAUUGGUCUAAAAGGGUGUGGUGAAUUUAAAGGUUCACCCUAGGGGGUGAACCUAAGUUGUGUCCCUAUAUAUACUAGAUUUUUUUUCCGCGCUACGCGUGGAUUACAUGCUUCAAAUUUAUUAAUAUACAAAAUUUUCCACUAUAUUUAAAAUAUUACUAAUUGUUUAUAUAACAUUUUUUAAAGUUGAAACUUAACGCAUCAAGAAAAAACUCAAAGAUCAUUAACGGCGAGCAUCAUUAGUGACAAAUAAAUAUUGUAAUUAAAAUGUAAAAUAUAAAAGAUUAAAAUUAAUCUAAAUAAUAUUAAUC